AAACAAAAUGAGGGUCACCCAUUUUCCCAUUUGUUCUCCUCCCUCUGCUCAAACUCAAAAGGCAUUUCCCACUUUUUCCCUUCCAACUCCCAAAAACAGAAGAAAGUUUCAAACACCACUCUCCAACGCUGAAACGACACCCUUUUCUACAGAAAACGACAGCCAGAACCAAACCCACCGUUCCCCACCAAGGCUCAUGCUUUUCUUUCACUCCCUCUCUUCCUCUCCUUCUGCUUCUUCUCUCUUCAUGUUUCAGUCGUUCAAUUAUUUUCAAUAGAGCGUUGACUUUUCAGUCAUUGACCGCACCUAGGAAAUGGACCAAUCAGUUCUGGACGACAUAAUCAAUCGUCUUCUGGAAGUCCGAGGCCGACCCGGAAAGCAGGUCCAGCUAUCUGAGUCCGAGAUCCGGCAACUUUGUUUGGCCUCUAAAGAAAUUUUCUUGCAACAGCCUAAUUUGUUAGAGCUUGAAGCACCCAUCAAGAUUUGUGGUGACAUACAUGGUCAGUACUCUGACCUUUUAAGGCUUUUUGAGUACGGUGGAUUACCUCCUAAUGCCAAUUACUUAUUCCUAGGGGAUUAUGUGGAUCGUGGAAAGCAAAGUUUAGAAACAAUAUGUCUUCUCCUUGCAUAUAAAAUAAAAUAUCCUGAGAACUUUUUCCUCUUGAGGGGAAACCAUGAAUGUGCUUCUAUAAACCGUAUAUACGGAUUCUAUGAUGAGUGUAAGAGAAGAUUCAAUGUGAGGCUAUGGAAGACGUUCACAGAAUGUUUUAACUGCCUACCUGUGGCAGCUCUGAUUGAUGAAAAGAUCCUCUGCAUGCAUGGGGGUCUUUCUCCUGAGCUGCAGAAUUUAGAUCAAAUCAGAAAUUUACAGCGGCCAACUGAUGUACCAGACGCAGGUUUACUCUGUGAUCUUCUCUGGUCUGAUCCCAGUAAAGAUGUUCAAGGUUGGGGAGGGAAUGACCGGGGAGUUUCAUAUACAUUUGGUUCUGACACAGUAACGGAGUUUCUUCAGAAGCAUGAUUUGGAUCUCGUUUGUCGUGCUCACCAGGUUGUUGAGGAUGGGUAUGAGUUAUUUGCCAACCGACAACUUGUGACAAUAUUUUCAGCACCUAAUUAUUGUGGGGAAUUUGAUAAUGCCGGUGCCAUGAUGAGCGUGGAUGAGACAUUAAUGUGCUCUUUCCAAAUAUUAAAACCUGCAGAUAAAAAGUCAAAAUUCAACUUUGGGAGCAUGACUACAGCUAAGCCUGGAAAUACUUCGACUGGAGUUUUUGGGAGCACAACUACAGCUAAGCCUGGGAACUCUGUAACAGGAAUCAAGAGUUUUGUGCCAUGAAACUUCCAUUGGUGUCCGAAAGAGGAAAUUUAUCUUUUAUGUGAAAAAAAAAAAAGGGAUUACAAUCUGAUUGGGUUCUUCAGAUUCAUUCCCUAAACAUGGAUAAGGAUUUUCUCCAUGCAUAAUAUUUCCUUGAUGCAGAGGUAAGAUGUUGGAUUUGGCAGAUAUGGGAGGUGCCGUGGCCCAGUUUGUAUCAUGAGCAUGUCAAGGUCUCCACUGGGAAACAUGAGGUCCAAUUUAUUUUCAUUGUAAUCUGUUUAAAUUGUAAAAUUUGGAAGGAAAAAUCGUUGGAAACUAAUGCAGAAUGAUAUAAAGUUGGGUUUGGAGGUAGAAGGCUGCAUCUCCUUCCGUUCCUCCUUGUACACUAAUGGCUGCUACUUUUGCUGCUAUGAAUUAUUAAUCUCUCCGAGACCAAAGAAAAGGUCAGAACAGUCGGUGCCUGCCUAUAAUGAAAUUUCCGGGACAGCAAAAUGGAGUUGGAAAGAAA